UACGGAGGGGGCUAGCGUUGUUCGGAAUUACUGGGCGUAAAGCGUGCGCAGGCGGCUCUCAAGUCAGGGGUGAAAGCCCAGAGCUCAACUCUGGAAUUGCCUUCGAUACUGGAAGACUUGAGUCCGGGAGAGGUGAGUGGAACUGCGAGUGUAGAGGUGAAAUUCGUAGAUAUUCGCAAGAACACCAGUGGCGAAGGCGGCUCACUGGCCCGGUACUGACGCUGAGGUGCGAAAGCGUGGGGAGCAAACAGG
rnacentral:rRNA from 1 species